ensembl:lncRNA
GGAUGAGAGAAACACACAUCAUCCCAUUUAAUUUUACCAUUCUUCUGCAAGUUCAUUAUUGAAGCCAUUCUACAGAUGAAGAGAGUGAGUUUUCUUUCUAUGUCUUUGGGAGGGCCUUGCUGAAUAUGUAAACCAUUUGAUUAGAGAAUCUGGCAUCCAAAACAGGGGUCAGACCAGGCGCUUGCUGGGAUUAUAGGUGUGCGCCACUGCACCCGGCCUGAUCUCAUUGGAUCUUUGUAGCAAUUUGAUGAAUUGGGUGUUCUCGUUAUCCCCAGGUGACAGGCAAACUGAGGCCCAGAAGAAGGUUGGUAAUAUGUUCAUGAGUUAAGACACAGCGCCAGGGUUCAUGUGGGUGAGGGUCUGACACCAAGCAGAUGAAGGGUCAUUGGCUACAGUGACUUGAGUACCCGAGCUGGGCCAGAUUUGGACCCGGUGGUGUGAGGAACCUCCUCCCGUCUAACUCUGGCAGAAGGAGUUUGGGGAGGGCAGGGACUGGAGGAAGAUGGUCUUCGCCCUGUUCAAAGCAGGCAGUAGCCUUUUCUCUCUCACGGUGGGCAAGGUUCCCUGCUGCCCGAGUCCCUGGGCCUCGGAGCACUAAGGCUGGCCACCUGCUAGGUGGGAAGGCCCCAAACGGCUUCUCAUCCUGCCUGCCUCCACUCCUCCUACCAGAGUGACCUCACCUGGCAGGAAGCGUGGCCCCAGGGCCCUGUCAGCUCAGUUCCCGCCAGCCAGGAGGGUCCUGGGGUCCCUUCCCAGCCUGCCACAAGCCCGGAGGGCACACCCAAGAGGCAAGUGUAAGAUCCUGUUUCCUUCAUCCUCAGCAGCCCAAAGCUCUGGACGCUGGAAGGGAGGCAGGGCCAGGAGGUACUUUCAUCUUUCCUGGAACUGUGUUAAAGGACCCUGGGCAGUGAAGGGAGCCAGAGCCAUUUCCUGCGUGCUUAUAGCAUGCCAGAUGCCUGGCCACGCGCUGCCCACAGGAUCAGGUGGAACUCCUCAGAGGCCCUGCCUUUUAGGGCCAGCCGUCCUCCCAUUUCACAGAUGGAGCCGUAGAGACUCCCCUCAAAAGCCACACAGCUAGGAGGAAGCCAAGUUCAAAUCAUGGCACAUCCAUCCCUGUCCAGGGCUUGUUUCUCACCUGCCUUGCCCCACUGCUAACUCCGACACCUCUUGAGUUUGGCAUCCAAGGGCAGAACCUGGAACCCAGGGGGAGGGAGGCACAGAGAGGCAUGAAGGAUGGGAACCACUGCACUGCCCGGCCUCCUGUGGGCUGCUCGGGCUGACUUCCCCCUCGCCAGUUCUGCUGCCCUUAACUGCGGCCUUUGGAAGGGGGUGUAACCUCUGCAGGUGACGCUUGGCCUCCCAAAGUGCUGGAAUUACGUGUGUGAGCCACUGUGCCUGGCCUAAUACAUAUUUUAUUUUAUUAUUUUAUUUUAUUUUUUUGAGACAGUCUCACUCUGCUGCCCAGGCUGGAGUGCAGUGGUGUGAUCUUGGCUCACUGCAAGCUCCGCCUCCUGGGUUCAUGCCAUUCUCCUGCCUCAGCCUCCCGAGUAGCUGGGACUACAGGCGCCCGCCACCAUGCCCGGCUAAUUUUUUGUAUUUUUAGUAGAGAUGGGGUUUUACUGUGUUCGCCAGGAUGGUCUCGAUCUCCUGACGCCCACCUCGGCCUCCCAAAGUGCUGGGAUUACAGGCGUGAGCCACUGUGCCCUGCCUAAUGUAUAUUUUUAAAAGGUGAACUAACAUAGGGAAAGUGCCCAGCCCCAUGCCUGGCCUGCAGAAGCCCUCAGGAAGUGCCCACUUGGGGUCCUCAGCUAAGGAGAUGGAGGCAAGGCAGGGGGCAGCCCCUGGCAUUUGAGACUGAACCAGUGAGAACUGUACCAUUUUUCUCUGGGUGAGGGCACAGAGCAACCACAUGGGCCCAAGUUCCCCCGCAGUGUGGGGAAAUGUGAUCCUACAUGGAUGUGGGGGUCUCUGGGUACCAGGGACUGGGAAGGCAGGAGUCCUGGCUUGGGGUGAGUUGGGGGUGCAGAGUGGGGAUCCAGCCCUGGUUUACAGCCGGUCCCCCUUCAGUGACGGGUUGGAUAUUUCUGGCCACCAGCCUGGGGAUUUAAUUAAGUUAGUGAUGAACCCAAGCACAUCUCCAGGGAGCCCAGAGCUGUCCCUGCUUUCUCUGCCUGUGGAUUAAUUCCUGUUUUUCCUUCUUUUGUUUUGUUUUGUUUUUCUCUCCCCCCUCCCUGUCUUUCUUCCCAAGGAAUAAAAAAAAAAAAAAAAA